CGGGGGUGUGCCGGCAGACUCCCGCCUUAAGACGCUCUUCGCGUCCAAGCUCUGC
rnacentral:ncRNA from 1 species